AACGAACGCUGGCGGCGUGUCUUAAGCAUGCAAGUCGAACGGCAAGAGAGGAGCUUGCUUCUCUCCUAGAGUGGCGGACUGGUGAGGAACACGUGGGUAAUCUCCCCUUAAGAUGGGGACAGCUGCAAGAAAUAGCAGGUAAUACCGAAUCCACUCGGCAUAUAACAAGAGGCGUUGAGGACAGGAAGCUUCGGCUUCGCCUGAGGCCGAGCUUGCGUCUCAUUAGCUAGUUGGUGAGGUAAAGGCCCACCAAGGCGACGAUGGGUAUCCGGCCUGAGAGGGUGAACGGACACAUUGGGACUGAGAUACGGCCCAGACUCCUACGGGAGGCAGCAGCGGGGAAUAUUCCGCAAUGGACGGAAGUCUGACGGAGCGACGCCGCGUGGGUGAAGAAGGCCGAAGAGUUGUAAAAUCCUUUUGUUGAUGAAGAAUAAGGGUGAGAGGAAAUGCUCAUCUGAUGACGGUAAUCGACGAAUAAGCCCCGGCUAAUUACGUG
rnacentral:rRNA from 1 species